rnacentral:rRNA from 1 species
UACGAAGGGGGCUAGCGUUGCUCGGAAUCACUGGGCGUAAAGGGUGCGUAGGCGGGGCUUUAAGUCAGGGGGGAAAUCCUGGAGCUCAACUCCAGAACUGCCCUUGAUACUGGGGAUCUCGAGUCCGGAAGAGGUGAGUGGAACUCCGAGUGUAGAGGUGAAAUUCGUAGAUAUUCGGAAGAACACCAGUGGCGAAGGCGGCUCACUGGUCCGGUACUGACGCUGAGGUGCGAAAGCGUGGGGAGCAAACAGG